rnacentral:rRNA from 1 species
CAGCCGCCGCGGUAAUACCGAGGGUGCAAGCGUUAAUCGGAAUUACUGGGCGUAAAGCGUGCGCAGGCGGUUAUAUAAGUCAGAUGUGAAAUCCCCGGGCUCAACCUGGGAACUGCAUUUGAGACUGUAUGGCUAGAGUGUGUCAGAGGGAGGUAGAAUUCCACGUGUAGCAGUGAAAUGCGUAGAUAUGUGGAGGAAUACCGAUGGCGAAGGCAGCCCCCUGGGAUAACACUGACGCUCAUGCACGAAAGCGUGGGGAGCAAACAGGAUUAGAUACCCCUGUAGUCCCUGUCUCUUAUAA